UUAAAAAAAAAAGAUUGAAAAAAUACACAGUACCACUGUUUCACUCUCUCUCUCCCUUUUCUCCUCAUCUUCGAUUCUCUCUUCCAUUUCUCCAAUCACUCUCAUGGAUUUCUAGCAAUCAUUCUUGUGAUACUCAAGCUCUCAUCAACAUCAACAUUAAUAGCUCUCAUCGGCAUGGUUAUGGUUAUGUACUUCGGCAUCUCCAUUUAUCCAUCUUCAUUCAUUUUUACCCUCACUCUAGUUUGAAUCCGAAGACACUUACUCUUUCUUACUUUUUGGUGGCGGUGCCUUGCUUACCCUGUGGCUAGCAUCAGCUGUUGUUGGAGCAAUUGAUUCUAUCCCGGUGUUCCCCAAAUUGUUGGAGAUUGUUGGUCUUGGCUAUACAGUUUGGUUUGCAUCUCGCUAUCUGAUAUUCAAGAUAAUUGAGUAGCCUCAUGAGAAACUCUUACUUUUGUUUGCAUUUUGCAAGAGGAUAAAUCAAUUGAAUCUUCUAUGAUGGAUAAAACUUGGGUAUCCUUUAGCAGAGUUUCAAAUGAGUAUAAGGAAGGUGCAAAGUAUUUUGUAGAGACUAUAGAAAAGGAAGCUGGUUAUCCAACAAAGUUGAUUUGUCCUUGCAAAGAUUGUCGAAAUUUAAGUCACCAGUAUGUUAGUGUUGUUUAUGAGCACCUGGUUAUCAAUGGAAUUGAUCCAACAUAUACUGUUUGGUAUCAUCAUGGGGAGGAAUCAUCUAGAAGUGAAGAUAUAGCACAAAGGGACAAUGAUGAUGUAUACAAUUUGUUUAGAGCAACAAAUAUUGGCGAUGAUGAUUAUAAUGAACAAGAAGAAAGUGCUCAAGAAGAAUGUUUCGCCAAACAAUUGGAAGAUGCAGAAACUUUAUUAUACCCGGGGUGCACAAAAUACACAAAAUUAUCGGCUAUAGUUGCUUUGUACAAGCUAAAAACAACCAAUGGUUGGUCAAAUAAUAGUUUUGACAAACUUCUAGAACUUCUACAUGAUAUGUUUCCAGUAGGUAAUGUGAUCCUCAAGUCAAUGUAUUCUGUUAAAAAAUACAGAAUAUUAACUAUUUGUCAGUUAUGUUAGAAAACUUAAAAAAUUAGGCAUACCCUUUAGAAAACCACUCAUUAAACUGUUCGUGACUAUCAAAUAA